CGUAUAGGAGGUCCUGCCUGCCCAGUGACAUAAGUUAAACGGCCGCGGUAUUUUGACCGUGCAAAGGUAGCGCAAUCACUUGUUUUUUAAAUGAAGACCUGUAUGAAUGGUGAAACGAGGGCUUAACUGUCUCCCCUCUCUGAUCAGUGAAAUUGAUCUACCCGUGCAGAAGCGGGUAUAAAAAUACAAGACGAGAAGACCCUGUGGAGCUUAAGACAUAAGUCAACUGCGUUAAUAAACCCCACUAAGGGAAAAAACAAAGCAACAACUGACCAACGUCUUCGGUUGGGGCGACCACGGGGGAAAAAAGAUCCCCCACGUGGAAUAGAUAUUUUCCUAAACCAUGAGGCACACCUCUAAGUCACAGAACUUCUGACCUUAAGAUCCGGCAUUCAGCCGAUCAACGGACCAAGUUACCCCAGGGAUAACAGCGCAAUCCUCUCCAAGAGUCCAUAUCGACGAGAGGGUUUACGACCUCGAUGUUGGAUCAGGACAUCCUAAUGGUGCAGCCGCUAUUAAGGGUUCGUUUGUUCAACGAUUAAUAGUCCUACGUGAUCUGAGUUCAGACCGG
rnacentral:rRNA from 1 species